rnacentral:rRNA from 1 species
GGUCAUUUAGAGGAAGUAAAAGUCGUAACAAGGUCUCCCGUAGGUGAACCUGCGGAGGGAUCAUUACACAAAUAUGAAGGCGGGCUGGAACCUCUCGGGGUUACAGCCUUGCUGAAUUAUUCACCCUUGUCUUUUGCGUACUUCUUGUUUCCUUGGUGGGUUCGCCCACCACUAGGACAAACAUAAACCUUUUGUAAUUGCAAUCAGCGUCAGUAACAAAUUAAUAAUUACAACUUUCAACAACGGAUCUCUUGGUUCUGGCAUCGAUGAAGAACGCAGCGAAAUGCGAUAAGUAGUGUGAAUUGCAGAAUUCAGUGAAUCAUCGAAUCUUUGAACGCACAUUGCGCCCUUUGGUAUUCCAAAGGGCAUGCCUGUUCGAGCGUCAUUUGUACCCUCAAGCUUUGCUUGGUGUUGGGCGUCUUGUCUCUAGCUUUGCUGGAGACUCGCCUUAAAGUAAUUGGCAGCCGGCCUACUGGUUUCGGAGCGCAGCACAAGUCGCACUCUCUAUCAGCAAAGGUCUAGCAUCCAUUAAGCCUUUUUUCAACUUUUGACCUCGGAUCAGGUAGGGAUACCCGCUGAACUUAAGCAUAUCAAUA